GGUUAAGCGACUAAGCGUACACGGUGGAUGCCCUGGCAGUCAGAGGCGAUGAAGGGCGUGCUAAUCUGCGAUAAGCGCCGGUAAGGUGAUAUGAACCGUUAUAACCGGCGAUACCCGAAUGGGGAAACCCAGUGUGAUUCGUCACACUAUCAUUAACUGAAUCCAUAGGUUAAUGAGGCGAACCGGGGGAACUGAAACAUCUAAGUACCCCGAGGAAAAGAAAUCAACCGAGAUUCCCCCAGUAGCGGCGAGCGAACGGGGAGGAGCCCAGAGCCUGAAUCAGCAUGUGUGUUAGUGGAAGCGUCUGGAAAGGCGCGCGAUACAGGGUGACAGCCCCGUACACAAAAGCGCAUGUGCUGUGAGCUCGAUGAGUAGGGCGGGACACGUGGUAUCCUGUCUGAAUAUGGGGGGACCAUCCUCCAAGGCUAAAUACUCCUGACUGACCGAUAGUGAACCAGUACCGUGAGGGAAAGGCGAAAAGAACCCCGGCGAGGGGAGUGAAAAAGAACCUGAAACCGUGUACGUACAAGCAGUGGGAGCACAGGUUUACCUGUGUGACUGCGUACCUUUUGUAUAAUGGGUCAGCGACUUAUAUUCUGUAGCAAGGUUAACCGUAUAGGGGAGCCGGAGGGAAACCGAGUCUUAACCGGGCGUUAAGUUGCAGGGUAUAGACCCGAAACC
rnacentral:rRNA from 1 species